GUGCAAUUUCAUGGAGGUAAUUGAAGUUUUGUUAAUUUCAUAGGGUAAUUGACAAAACUUACAAUUUCAUAGGGGUAAUUGCCUAUUUACUCCUUCUUCCUUUUUUUUCUUCUUCUCUUUUCUCCCACCUUCUCUUCUCUGUUUCUGUUCUUCCAUUUCUUCUUCCUUCUCUUAUUUCUUCUCUUCUCUCCCACCUUAUCUUCUCCUCUCUCCCUUUUUUGCUUCAAGCAAAAAAUCAAAAUCAAAACCAAAUUCAUAAGAUUUAUUUUGUUUUCAAGGUUUGAUUUUUGAAAGUAAAAUUGAAAUCAAAAGCAAAAAAUCGAAAUCGAAAUCAACCAUGAUGUGGGUUUGAUUUUUGAUUUGUUUUCUGGGUUUGAUUCAAGCUGAUUGGAACAUAAAUCGAACAGAAGAAGGGUUGGAUUCAAGCUGAUUGAUUCAAGCUGAUUUGUUUUCUGGGUUUGAUAAGGGUUCGAAAUUCAGUUGUGUAGUUGCUGUUGUUGUCAUUCCAACAACAACAGUUGAAUUUUCAAACUCUCAAACAACAGACUUAUGAUUCCUUCAUCUUCUCCAUCGAGUUGUUUUCUGGGUUGUCGUUGUUGUUGAUUGGCCGAAAAUGGGUUGUUUGGAUCCGAAAGUGUUGCUUGCUAUGUUGUUGUUGAUUGCAUCCAAAUGUAUUAUUGUUGUUUGUGUGUUGAUUAAAUGGGAUUGAAGGGAAAGAAGAGAAGAGAAGAGAUGGGGGGACGAGAGAAGAGAAGAGAAGUGAGAAAGAAGAAUAGAUGGAUUGAAGAGGAGAGAGAGAGGACUUGAAGAAUUUUUUUAAAAAAUUCUUGUUUUUUAAAGUUUUUUUUUUAAUUGUCUUUCAAAAAAAAA
rnacentral:lncRNA from 1 species